UUCAGAAUUACUCUAAAUUUCAAAAAGGUUAUACCCAGUGGAUAAUCAGUGAAAAGGGUUACUUCCAAUUCAAUUUAAAUUGAUACCCCAUAUGGUGAAAUUUGGUCCGAUACUAUUUUAAGCAUUGUUAAAUUGCCUUUUUGAAGACACGAUAAGAUGUAUGUCCAUAUUGUGAUUCUUUGAUUAAUACACCCCUGAUGAAGUCUGUAGGACGAAACGCGUUGGAUUAGCACAUUGUUCUCUGACAUCUCUACAAAGAAGAUCAUUUUGAUGUUGUUUGAAUUACCAACACAACUAUCGUCUGUACAAACAUUGUUUAUU